rnacentral:lncRNA from 1 species
CCAAAGGCAAAUCGCAGGACAGCAAAUUAUCUUCCAAGACUUGGCCAGCAGGGAAGUCCUACUGAUCAACCUCCAAGAGGAUGGAGAAAUCCUUCAUUCCUCCCCGCAGCCGCCACACCCAGGGGCAGCCUCCUGACUGGCUCCCCUGCUUCCUCUUCUGCCAUCUACAACCCAUUCUCCAUACAUUUUGCAGUAAGGGUGACCUUGGAAUUUCAAUUAUUCUACUUUAUUCUCUCACAUCAAUGCCUUCAUUUCUCACAUGGAUUUAUAUAUGAGCUCCCUAGGGCCCUACAUUCUGCCGCUGAUCAUACCUCAAUUUUUUUUUUUUUAAGAAAGGUUUUUUUUGUUUGUUUGUUUUGUUUUAUUUUAACUAAUCUUUUGUACUUCGGG